AACAUCGCGCACCUGCGGGAACCUGCGGAAGGAUCAUUACCGAGUUUACAACUCCCAAACCCAUGUGAACAUACCUAUCGUUGCUUCGGCGGAUCGCCCCGGGCGCCUUGCGUGCCCCGGAUCCAGGCGGCCGCCGGGGGACCUUAACUCUUGUUUUUACUGAGAAUCUUCUGAGUCGUUUUUACAAAUAAAUAAAAACUUUUAACAAUGGAUCU
rnacentral:misc_RNA from 1 species